AGCGCAGACGGCGAAGCAAGUCUGAAGCGAAAUGCAUGGGCUCAACCCAUGAAUUGCUUUGGAAACUGUUUGGCUUGAGUGUCGGAGGGGUAAGCGGAAUUCCUAGUGUAGCGGUGAAAUGCGUAGAUAUUAGGAGGAACACCGGAGGCGAAGGCGGCUUACUGGACGACAACUGACGUUGAGGCUCGAAGGCGUGGGGAGCAAACA
rnacentral:rRNA from 1 species